rnacentral:ribozyme from 1 species
ACCUCAAAAAGAUAGAACCUUCUCGUGGUUUGAGGUGUGAGUAAAUAUUUUUAUUGAAACUAAUCUAUCU